CGGAGUUAGCCGGCGCUUAUUCCUAAGGUACCGUCACUAUCUUCCCUUAGAAAAGAGCUUUACGACCCAAAGGCCUUCUUCACUCACGCGGUAUCGCUGCGUCAGGGUUGCCCCCAUUGCGCAAAAUUCCCCA
rnacentral:rRNA from 1 species